UACGAAGGGGGCUAGCGUUGCUCGGAAUCACUGGGCGUAAAGCGCACGUAGGCGGAUUGUUAAGUCAGGGGUGAAAUCCUGGAGCUCAACUCCAGAACUGCCUUUGAUACUGACGGUCUUGAGUUCGGGAGAGGUGAGUGGAACUGCGAGUGUAGAGGUGAAAUUCGUAGAUAUUCGCAAGAACACCAGUGGCGAAGGCGGCUCACUGGCCCGGUACUGACGCUGAGGCACGAAAGCGUGGGGAGCAAACAGGG
rnacentral:rRNA from 1 species